UACGUAGGGUGCGAGCGUCAAUCGGAAUUACUGGGCGUAAAGCGUGCGCAGGCGGUGAUGUAAGACAGGUGUGAAAUCCCCGGGCUUAACCUGGGAACUGCGCUUGUGACUACAUGACUCGAGUACGGCAGAGGGGGGUGGAAUUCCACGUGUAGCAGUGAAAUGCGUAGAGAUGUGGAGGAACACCGAUGGCGAAGGCAGCCCCCUGGGCCAGUACUGACGCUCAUGCACGAAAGCGUGGGGAGCAAACAGG
rnacentral:rRNA from 1 species